GUGGGGAAUCUUGCGCAAUGGGCGAAAGCCUGACGCAGCCAUGCCGCGUGAAUGAUGAAGGUCUUAGGAUUGUAAAAUUCUUUCACCGGGGACGAUAAUGACGGUACCCGGAGAAGAAGCCCCGGCUAACUUCGUGCCAGCAGCCGCGGUAAUACGAAGGGGGCUAGCGUUGCUCGGAAUUACUGGGCGUAGAGGGCGCGUAGGCGGACAGUUUAGUCAGAGGUGAAAGCCCAGGGCUCAACCUUGGAAUUGCCUUUGAUACUGGCUGUCUUGAGUACGGGAGAGGUGAGUGGAACUCCGAGUGUAGAGGUGAAAUUCGUAGAUAUUCGGAAGAACACCAGUGGCGAAGGCGACUCACUGGCCCGUUACUGACGCUGAGGCGCGAAAGCGUGGGGAGCAAACAGGAUUAGAUACCCCGGUAGUCC
rnacentral:rRNA from 1 species